UACGAAGGGGGCUAGCGUUGUUCGGAAUUACUGGGCGUAAAGCGCACGUAGGCGGAUAUUUAAGUCAGGGGUGAAAUCCCAGAGCUCAACUCUGGAACUGCCUUUGAUACUGGGUAUCUCGAGUAUGGAAGAGGUGAGUGGAAUUCCGAGUGUAGAGGUGAAAUUCGUAGAUAUUCGGAGGAACACCAGUGGCGAAGGCGGCUCACUGGUCCAUUACUGACGCUGAGGUGCGAAAGCGUGGGGGGCAAACAGG
rnacentral:rRNA from 1 species